rnacentral:rRNA from 1 species
UACGAGAGGCCCAAACGUUAUUCGGAAUUACUGGGCUUAAAGAGUUCGUAGGCGGCGCAGAAAGUAGGGUGUGAAAGCCCUCGGCUCAACCGAGGAAUUGCGCUCUAAACUACUGUGCUCGAGGAAUCUAGAGGUGAGCGGAACUGAUGGUGGAGCGGUGAAAUGCGUAGAUAUCGGGAGGAACACCAGUGGCGAAGGCGACUACCUGGCCUGUUCUUGACGCUGAGGCGCGAAAGCUAGGGGAGCAAACGGG